rnacentral:rRNA from 1 species
CCUACGGGUGGCAGCAGUGAGGAAUAUUGGUCAAUGGGCGGGAGCCUGAACCAGCCAAGCCGCGUGCGGGAAGAAGGUCCAGCGUAUCGUAAACCUCUUUUGUCAGGGGACAAAGUCGGGGACUAGUCCCCUGUUGAGGGUACCUGAUGAAAAAGCAUCGGCUAACUCCGUGCCAGCAGCCGCGGUAAUACGGAGGAUGCGGGCGUUAUCCGGAUUUAUUGGGUUUAAAGGGUGCGCAGGCCGCCUGUUAAGCCAGGCGUGAAAGGCCGGGGCUCAACCCCGGCGCUGCGGUGAAAACUGGCGGGCUGGAGUGGGAGAGACGUACGCGGAAUGCGUGGUGUAGCGGUGAAAUGCUUAGAUAUCGCGCAGAACCCCGAUUGCGAAGGCAGCGUACCGGAGCGAUACUGACGCUGAGGCACGAAAGCGUGGGUAUCGAACAGGAUUAGAUACCCUUGUAGUC